ACUCAAAUGAAUUGACGGGAGCCCGCACAAGCAGUGGAGUAUGUGGUUUAAUUCGAAGCAACGCGAAGAACCUUACCAAGAAUUGACAUCCGCGGAAUCCGGGGUAAUGCCCGGAGUGCCCCUUUGGGGAGCCGUGAGACAGGUGGUGCAUGGUUGUCGUCAGCUCGUGUCGUGAGAUGUUGGGUUAAGUCCCGCAACGAGCGCAACCCUUACGGUCAGUUGCUACGCAAGAGCACUCUGGCCGGACUGCCGUUGACAAAACGGAGGAAGGUGGGGAUGACGUCAAAUCAUCAUGCCCCUUAAGACUUGGGCUACACACGUACUACAAUGGCGCUAAACAACGGGAAGCGAAGCCGCGAGGCGGAGCGGAUCCCCAAAAGGCGUCCCAGUUCAGAUUGCAGGCUGCAACCCGCCUGCAUGAAGUCGGAAUUGCUAGUAAUCGCGAAUCAGCAUGUCGCGGUGAAUACGUUCCCGGGCUUUGCACACACCGCCCGU
rnacentral:rRNA from 1 species